rnacentral:rRNA from 1 species
CCCUUAGAUGUUCUGGGCCGCACCCGCGCUACACUGAAGGAGGCAGCGUGUACUCCUGGAUCGAAAGAUUUGGGUAACCCGCGAAUCUCCUUCGUGCUAGGGAUUGAGGUUUGCAAUUAUCCUUCAUGAACGAGGAAUUCCCAGUAAGUGCAAGUCAUAAGCUUGCGCUGACUACGUCCCUGCCCUUUGUACACACCGCCCGUCGCUACUACCGAUUGAAUGAUUUAGUGAGGACUUCGGACUGGGACCGAUGCGGCUUUCGGGCUGCGUCGGUAUUCUGGAAAGAUGUCCAAACUGUNUNAUUUAUNGGAAGUAAAANUCGUANCA